rnacentral:lncRNA from 1 species
CCAUAACCACCUGCCUAGUGAAAGCCACAGACAUUCCUUAGUGUCAUCCAGACCCUCCUCUGCACACCCAGCCCUUCUGACAUCUAUCACUGUCCCAGUGCAAAAAUGUGUGUCAUCCCCCACUUCACUGCGGAUACCCUCUGAGCAGGAGCUGGAUACCAUUUACCCUGGACCCAGAGUCACAUCAAGGACAUUCAUGAUCAGAAGACACACAACUUCCUGAUCAUCACCAUUUGGAACUCUUUCAUCUGUGGGGCCACCUUGAACCAACAGACUGCUGUGACAGGAAAUGCUCUGAGGAAGCAAGAGCUCACAUGGUCAUCUUGGUCCCUGAAGCAACACAGCCGAGGGAAAGACAUGUUCUAGGAUGCUUGAUGAUCCUGUGGACUGUAGCGUGUCUACAGAUGCCUUCUUAGACAGGUAAGUGUGCCCCACUUUGGCAAAAGUGACUGUGACUAGGAUUUGGUUAGUUCAGGUCAAGUAGACUUCCUAACAUAUACAAGCUGACUCGAAAGAAGUGAACUUCUGGUCCCUGGUGAUGCACACGUGUUAGCUGUGGGUCAGAGGUCAAGCUGGAGCUGGGCCUAGCAAAGGCAGGAUGAUAAACAGCCAAGUGUCUGUAUUUGAUAAACC